ACACAUGCAAGUCGAACGGCAGCACGGGAGCAAUCCUGGUGGCGAGUGGCGAACGGGUGAGUAAUACAUCGGAACGUGCCCAAUCGUGGGGGAUAACGCAGCGAAAGCUGUGCUAAUACCGCAUGAGAUCUACGGAUGAAAGCAGGGGACCGCAAGGCCUUGCGCGAAUGGAGCGGCCGAUGGCAGAUUAGGUAGUUGGUGAGGUAAAGGCUCACCAGCCUGCGAUCUGUAGCUGGUCUGAGAGGACGACCAGCCACACUGGGACUGAGACACGGCCCAGACUCCUACGGGAGGCAGCAGUGGGGAAUUUUGGACAAUGGGCGCAAGCCUGAUCCAGCCAUGCCGCGUGCAGGAUGAAGGCCUUCGGGUUGUAAACUGCUUUUGUACGGAACGAAAAGGCUUUCUCUAAUAAAGAGGGCUCAUGACGGUACCGUAAGAAUAAGCACCGGCUAACUACGUGCCAGCAGCCGCGGUAAUACGUAGGGUGCAAGCGUUAAUCGGAAUUACUGGGCGUAAAGCGUGCGCAGGCGGUGAUGUAAGACAGUUGUGAAAUCCCCGGGCUCAACCUGGGAACUGCAUCUGUGACUGCAUCGCUGGAGUGCGGCAGAGGGGGAUGGAAUUCCGCGUGUAGCAGUGAAAUGCGUAGAUAUGCGGAGGAACACCGAUGGCGAAGGCAAUCCCCUGGGCCUGCACUGACGCUCAUGCACGAAAGCGUGGGGAGCAAACAGGAUUAGAUACCCUGGUAGUCCACGCCCUAAACGAUGUCAACUGGUUGUUGGGUCUUCACUGACUCAGUAACGAAGCUAACGCGUGAAGUUGACCGCCUGGGGAGUACGG
rnacentral:rRNA from 1 species